rnacentral:rRNA from 1 species
CCUACGGGUGGCAGCAGUAAGGAAUAUUGGUCAAUGGGCGUAAGCCUGAACCAGCCAAGUCGCGUGAGGGAUGAAGGUUCUAUGGAUCGUAAACCUCUUUUAUAAGGGAAUAAAGUGUGGGACGUGUCCUAUUUUGUAUGUACCUUAUGAAUAAGGAUCGGCUAACUCCGUGCCAGCAGCCGCGGUAAUACGGAGGAUCCGAGCGUUAUCCGGAUUUAUUGGGUUUAAAGGGUGCGUAGGCGGCCUUGUAAGUCAGCGGUGAAAGUCUGUGGCUCAACCAUAGAAUUGCCGUUGAAACUGGGGGGCUUGAGUAUGUUAGAGGCAGGCGGAAUGCGUGGUGUAGCGGUGAAAUGCUGAGAUAUCACGCAGAACACCGAUUGCGAAGGCAGCCUGCCAGGCCAUGACUGACGCUGAUGCACGAAAGCGUGGGGAUCAAACAGGAUUAGAUACCCUUGUAGUG